CCCACAUUCCCUCUCCCACCCCACCCAUGCAAAUUAGAACUUCACACACGUUGCGGCAAGCUGCCGGGUGCUCUGUGAUUUCACACGACCAAUUAAGGCCCUCUUGGCAGUUGUGUGAACAGUUUCAUUAGAGGAGAUAAUAUUGCAAAGUGAAAUGAUAAGCAAUCAUUAUGAUUAAUGCCAAGACAUUACAUUGCUCGUUAAUGAGGUGUAAAUGAUCUCAUUAUUUUUUGAAAGAGUACAGAUUAGAUUAAAGUGGAGUGGACAGCGCUCCUCGGUGUUCAGACAAGUUAGUGUUAAUUAGGCCCAAUCUCCAGGAGCAAAUGAGCCGCAACCCUUUGGUAAACAAUUAGGCUCCCACAGCCGCGGGCGGGAUGGACAAGGAGGCAUCUGAACGGAUAGAUCGCUGGGGAGAUGGAUGUUGGGGAGGUGUUUGAAUCUGAAUCCAGUUCAUUGUUCUAUAGCCACGCAAAAUUAGGCAAAUCAUCUUGCCUCUCAUGCAGUGGAAUUGGGUAAAGAGGUUUAUUUUGGGCUUCAGCCGGUUUAGUGGUGAUUUGAUGCAGUUUCAUCCAUGACUACAGUUUACAAGAAUAGUGUGAAUAUGAUGUUAAAAGGUUCCUACCAUUUUUUACCCAUUUUACAAUACCACCAGAGAAAUAAAGUGUGUUGUGCUUUUCAGAAAUAGUGAACAGUGAGGCUGUGUGUCAAUGGCAUUGAAAUUUAAAAACAUUUAGAUCACAUGCUGCAUUCUUUCCUGAACUCCCACGAGCGUAAGUAAGCAUUUUAAUACCUGCGGGAAGACCAAACUCUCACAAACAAUAAAAACUAUAAUAAUAAGUUGUAAUUACAGAAACUCUACAUAAAUGAAAUGGCUGUUGCUGACAAUGGCCGACAAUGCAUUCAAUCAAUCUGUUUUUUUCAUUGAGUGGGGAGUUUUAUUGUCGGUAAGAAAUAUUGAUACCGUUUUUUCAGUAGCCUUGUUGUAGAUAUAUUCAUAUUGGUAAAAGGCCUUUCAUUUAAUCUUGCCACGAACAACAAAAUGUCAUUUUGUUUUGUUUACAUGACAUUUGUAAAAUAUGAGGAUCCUGUCAGACUGCCACACAGAUUGAAAAACCUUCUGUGCAGCCAUAUUUGCAGACAUGCAAGUUUUGCAGGUGCUCUCUCGGUAACAGAUGUGCUCCUUAUGACUUCUGGGAAAUAAAGGUAAAAAAGUUGGAUUUCAGGGAGUUCAGGCUAUUAACGUCAAUCCAUUGUGUGUCUUUAUAGAGUAUUCUAAUUAAUCAGCAAUGAAAUUAAUUCAUCCAACCAGACAAAAUGUGUCUUUGUGUGCUUUGAUUAAAUAAUUGCUAGCUUCAUUGUAAGAAAUAAAAGAAUGGUGGUUAUUUUAGUUUGGACCUGAGGUGAGCCCGAAGUUUUACAAAAACACGUUUUCUGUAACUUUAAGUGCUAACUUUUCCUUCAAACAGGAGCACUUUCUAUGAAGACAAAUCUGGAAGUCUCGAAGAUUUGAACACAGUUCCAGCUUCUCAUCUGAGCUGGAUUAGCCGUAGUGGGAAAUGUCUGCCUCUGACAACGUUGGUUUCACCAUCCCCUCACUUUGUCUGAGAAGAUAUGCUGAGAUUAUGACAAGAAAGGCGAUGCUGUAAUCCCUUUGCACAGGAGUUAUGCUUUAGAGACAUCAGGCCCUUAUCAGUGAUUGAUAACACUUAACUCAAAAACAUAUAGAAGCAUUAGGAACGUCAAUAUUUUGCCAGCGACUGAAGGUGACCCCCGGUUCCUGUGUUUGCAGUGUGUGCGCGGUGGGCUUUAAUGGUAAAUUUGUAAGGGUGGUUAUGUGGGGAGGCUAUUAUGGAUUUGCUAUCUUGGCCUGAAGUGUUUGCGGCUGAUUAUGUGAUUAAAUCAAUAAUAAUUUCUGUUUGGGCUCCUUUGCUCCUCCUGUUUCAUCUUCUUUUUCCUGCGUAUUUAAGCGGAACGGUUGGUGGGGACCGGCGUACACAAAUGCACAAACAAACACACUCAACAACACAUACUACACCUGGCAGAACAACUGUGAAGCCGACGGCAUUAAUAAUUAACAUUCCAACAACCAAACAGGUUUACAUGAAGGAAUCUGAAAAAGACAAAAAACAUUUUGUUUUAAUGCUUUUUAAUAAAGGCUGAGCAUUAAUGCAUUUUUACCACAGGUAGGCUCAGGACUCACGCUUCCCUAACUUAAAUUAAGCUGACCACAUGCCCAACGCUUCGGCUGUACGCUUGAACGCUCCUUCCUCCAUACCUUGGGCCCUGGUUUGGUGCCGACUUGUGCCAGCCGCUCCCUAACAACCGCAGUCGCUCCCUCUCCUGGUUCUGCCGGGGCUUGUUGUUAUGUCUAGACUGCAGGAAAUGCAACAUUACAUUUGUUUACAACCAACAGGAACUAGAACCAGAAGCUGUUUAACGUGAUUAAAGAGUGCUACCCAGAGAGAGUGUGUGUGUGUGUGUGUGGCUCGACCCCCUGGGUUUGGCAACGAUCGACUCCAUAUAGGCAAACCAACACGGGAAAGAGAGCAGCACCGCUGUCCGUUUCACUUAGAUGAAGAAAUUGCAUCCAACACUUCCACGUGCUGAAAGUAAGGAGCCGAGUUGGUGCGUGUGUGUCUGUCCAUUCCGUCUGUACUGUAAUUAUGAUUAUUUGAGCAUGGUACCACGCGUACUAUGCAUUUUGUGUGUCUGCGGCUGCACGUGUGUGUUUGAUUGUGUGAGUUAACUCACAAUCCCUCAGCACCCUCUUAGAUCUAUACCCAAUAAAAAUCAGCGUCGUCUCGAAAAACAAAACCCAAGGAAACAUCUGUAAAACAUUGAUCUUGCAGAUUGCAAACCAACUGAAUGGCUAAUGAGAUGAGAAAUCCUUUUUGAUUAAUUAACCUAAAAAUUGGUGAAUCUAAGUUGCCACCUGGGAGAUGACAAGUCCUGCAGGCCUGAUCGCACAGGAAGAGGUCACGCUGUAGCGCUGUAGAAAUGUUGGUUAGCUAAAAGCGCGGGUGGAGUUCAUUGUUCUUUGUUUAUUUGUGUGCUUUAAGGUUUAAGGUGCAUAAAAGUUUACACAUUAAAUUACUCACAUUGUACUUUUGAAGUUAAAUAUGUGGACACUUUAAAUGCAGUUAAGGUGAAUGGAAUUAUUUUUGAUGUUCAAAGUAUUGGAAAUGUACAAAAAUGAUGCAGACAAUUCCUUAAUUGUGUCAUGUUACUUUGACUGGUCCAACACACUGUCAACUUCUGAAUUAUUUGUCACUUUGUUGCACUUGAUGUUGAAUGCUGUUAGCACCUGCGAUACAUUUGCAUUCAAACAAAAUCAUCACUCCGCUAAAACAUGAAAAUCGGUAAAAAAAAGUAAAACUGUUAAACUAAACUAAAAUACUAUUAUAUUAUAGUAUUAAUAUUAGUCCACUCUAUAUUAGGAUAUAAAUCCUGCACCUAUAUAUAAAUGUAUUGUUACAAAUUGGUACACUCACAGUAUAUUAUGAAUCAGGAACCUUUAUUCCCAAAGUAUGUUAGACAUACAAGGAAAUUGACAUGGCGGGUGGUUCAUACAUUGGACAAUAAGACAAUGCGACAAUGGACAACAAGACAAAUAAUAAGACAAUAGUGCAGGAAAAUAAGGCAUCUUCAAUUUACAAUUUAAAUGUACAGUGUAAUAUUGAAGAAUAACAUAAGAUAAAACAAAAAAGAUAAAAAUAAAGUGCACAGGCGAACAGAUAACAAUACUCAACACAACUGUAUUGUGAGUAUAUGUAAAUGUGAUCAAUGUAUUUACAUAUGGACUUUGAAGGGAGGUGCAGGGUUCACAUUCAAAAAAAAUUAUUUGAUGUAAGAAAAACGAUUACUAUGUUGUGGUGUGAUCACAUCUGAAAUGGAAUUUAAUGUAAUUUUGUCAACAGGAAAUGUAAAGAAGAAGAAGAAGAUUGGUGGACAUGGGAACUAUUUAUGUAAGCCAGUGUCUCUCAGGCUUGUAUCCCAAGACUGCAAAAGGCCAGAUGGAACUAUUGGGAAUUAUCAAUACAUUUGAAGUUUGUUUUGAACCAAUGAAAUGACAUAGCUGCAGCCACUCAUCGUGCACAAAUACAAAGGCACACAAACGCAUGCAGUUUGAACAAAAACACACACUUACGCUCAAGAGCUCUAUUCUGUUCAUACACAGAAGUAAGCAAGGACGCACACACACACACUUUGGCCAGAAUGGGGGAAAGGAGGGUGGGGGCAGUUUUCUGCACUCACAACACAGCUGGUUCUGAAAGGUCAAUAAGAAACUUCGAGUGUUUAUUUGUUCAUGUGUUUUAUUUGCUUUCUAAUACAGCCGAGGCUCCGAUUUGACGGAUCUAUUUGAAAAGUAUCACAGCACAUUAACGUCUAAAGAGCGUGGGAAAUUUUGACUCAACAAAGAGGUUUUUCCUUCUCUUCCUCUUUUUAUUCUAUUAUUUUCUCCUAAUUCAUUACUAUCUUUCCCCAGGUGUCUUAAUUUUACCCCCCCCUACAUGAAAGUAUUAUAUUGUAGCCCAGCAGCUGGCUAUCGUGAUGCAGGAACAACCUCCUACCCUGUGAUGGCUGGACAGUAGACCAGUGUAGAGCCCAAUCGCCAUGGAUUCACGAGCACAGUUGUGGGUUCCCAGAAUGCAGCGUCACUCAGUCAUCAUCAACCUCAUCAGUCUUUCUCACCAACAAAAAAAAGAGAGAAGAGAAUCACUACUUUAUGCGCGAUCUCAUUUUUAUCAGCUUUCUUGUCCGUCACAGGUAAAACGUGUGGACACAUUUACCCAAAGACGGUGUGGGAGCAGCCAAUUCAAACAUCAUCUAGUAGUUCCAGAUUGCACAGUUAACAAGGGGCUGGUUGACUGCCAAAUAUGGGCAUUGUAGCAAAUUAAUACACCGUUCAAUGCCAAAGCUUUUACAAAACAUUUCAUCUUCAUUGAGCUAUGAAACACACAGCCAUGUAGCCCGUUUAGCACAGUAAUAAUACCUCAUUGCAUACAUUUUAAGAAAUGUAGGCAGAAUUCUGCUAUUUUCUACUGGAACGCAGUUUGCAGACUGAGACCGAAGCCGUCUAUCAUCCUUUGCUCAUAAACCUCCACCUUUCACAGUCAAAUCCUUGAUCUACUCGCACAGAAAUUGUCCACUAUGAAUCAGCUGCACAAUGGAAGCCGGGGAGUGUUUUUGAGAAGAAAAUGAAAUGAAAGGGAAAGAAACUUAAAUCCUCCUGAAUAAUGUGCUCCCAAACCCCCUCACAGCCAUGGUAACCAGGGCAGUUUGCCAUGCCCUUCAGAGCAUCCGGGACCUGACAGAAAAGUACCAGGGGGAGUACCAGUCUCCCCCCUCGCGCGUCUUCAAAACCGUUCAAAUCUUGAAGAGUUUUUAGUGCCCAGUCUUUGUAAACUGUUACAUAACAUGAUAAUCCAAUAACCAUUGUAAGGACUUCUAAUUGCAUUUUUAUGCUCCAGUAACACUUCAACACAUGAAUCAUAAUGUACUGUAAAAGAAAGACAUCAGUAUUCAACCCUGGUAAUUCCUCUUACUGAAAGAGUCACAUAGAGAUUAAGACUGAGAAAAAUGUACUCAUUUGGAAGUCUUACCUGAGAAUUUAGGGGGGAUUUUAAAAUAAGUGGAAAGCAUACGAGGCUUCUCGCUAAUUAAGCUUUAUCCAGAUUGAAACAAGGGAUAGCAUUGAUAUGUAUUGGGAUAGAAUAUCCUUUUUACCUCAUUUCCUAUAAUGCUAAGGGAAGUUUCAUUUUUACUUGAAAUACAGUUAACACAUUGUACAACUGUAGGUGAGUAGCAAGGAAAAACUUGCAAAACAGCAAAGACAGACCAACACAAAUCAUUAGUCAGUGUUAACUGGUAAUACAAAUAUUGAUGCUUAACAAAAUAAAAGCAUGAAUAAAUAUAAUCAACUUGUAGUGACUUCAGAAAAUUGAGAGCGGUAGUAUUUUCUUUCAUACACCCAAUAAAAUACGUACCCAACAAAGGCCUGCUUUCAGGUGAAUAGUAGGACUUAUAAACCUAGAAACGUAUUUUUUAGAAGUAGAUAAAAUAGAAUGGACAAUGAAAUUACAAAGUGUAGCGCCGUAAAUAAAUUUUGGACGUGGAGAGAAAAAAAAGGAACACGCCUAGUGAGAGCUGUCUUUGGAUAUGUCCUAUCUGUCAGCCGCCCUGUGUAUGCCUUCUUUAAUUUAUUGAGUCAAUAACACAGGAACCCCGGCCAGCAUAAUAGAAGUUAGAAGUUUUUACGUGGACUUCUGUCAAGAUUGCCAAUUCUUGAAAGUAGAAGGAGAGAAGAAAAUAAAGUGAAUCAAAGGAACGAGGACUAAAUAACCCACAUUUUUGCUGCUUGUUUUUUUUCGGUUUUGCUUUGAACACUUUCCGUUUGUGAGCGAUAAACAUUUUCUUUUAGUAAGGUAACAUCAAUGCUAUUUUUUGUUGUUGAGCUGUAAUAUGAUAAUUACUUUGUUUGGGAAAAACUGUUGAAUAAAAGAUCAAUCUUAAAACAUGUAACGUUCUUUACUAAUGUUGAAUUAGGCAGGAUAGGUGCAAAUGAUAUAUGUAAGUGGGAAAUCUUCUUUCAGCUAAGAACCGUCAUAAUUAUCCAGACUGAUAUUUGUCUUGAGAGGAAGCAGUUCGAAACGUUUGACUAAUAAGUUGAGUUGUUUUGUGUCGACAAGAGACCACAAAGUUCAAUAAAGCAUUGAUGUAAAGCGCAGUAUUUCAAACUGCCCCCCAGAGUACAGGGCAGGAGCCUCAUACUGAUGACACUAAUUCUUCAGGGGAAUUCAUGUUAGCGUCAUGUUAUUACGCUAUCUCUCCAUUUUCUGUUCAGAGAUUCAAGUUUGGGUGAAUUGACAUCCUUUAAUCACAUACUUUCCCAGCAAUAAAAAUGAAUGAAUCCCUUACCUUAGAAGUUUGCCAUGAAAAGUGUUUGUUAGCAGGAAAUCAAUGCGGGAAUACAAGACAAAAACGUCCUGUGCGCCAGUACGAGCGCUCUCUUAGUUUCUAGAAGCUCUCGUUCUUUAGUGGAAGGUUAGAAGGUCACGCGUCAGACAAUCGAUUGCCAGCCAGACCCUCCCCCCACGAAGCUGCUCUGCUGAUCCUGGUUGGCUAACAGUGCUGUCAAUCUCAAUUCUAUGGAAAUGGCUCAAUUCUACAGGCUCUAACAAUCCCAAUGAGGUACGAGAAACAGCCCCGCGUAGUGAAAGGCCCCUUUGUUUAAACUGCAUCAUCUUUUUAUUAAUUUACUCUGCGUUAAACGAAAAAAGAAGCCCCGCACCUGCGUGUACGAGAUGUAUUGAACACUCGUCUCUCGUCUGGAGGAUGAGCUGCUCUGAGUGGAACGCAGCGCACGUCACGUCGGACCCCCCCUCCCCCAGUUUGGGAACCACUGGGUUAAGUCAACACAACUGUGACGCUGUCAUGGCUCGGCUUCCAAAAAAGCUGUUUGUUAUCUAACAUGUUGCGUAGCUUUCGUUAUGCGGAAUAACUCAACAUGAGCAUUUCACAUGGGACCCAGACGCAAGUCUCCUGGGUGAAAGUCGUGUAUUCGAAGAUACGCAGCAUUUCUUAAAACAAACAAACUUGGAUAAAAGGUUUCAUCUUUUAUACUUUUUUACAGGACAUCACGAGUAGCGGUCGUGCCCUUACGUCGGAAAAAAUGUAAGAUUAGUUUCAGCCAACACACAUACUUUGUUUUUCGUUAGAAAGAAAACGUAGUUUGGUUGAAGUAAAAAAUGUGUUUGUUAUUCUACUUCUGCAUUUUCACAACCUGAAGUGACUCACUCUAGACUUGUUUCAUACUUCUUUUGAACCCUCGUAUUCAUGCGUCCACCACCAAUUAGCCUCCCAAUUGACUCACCAUCGGCUUUGCAGGAAGUUGUGUGAAUUUCACACAUUUCCAUAAAAUACGAUUGUUUCCUACUAUUUGAAAUAUUUAAAUUGUGUCAAACCAAUUGCAGUUGUUGAUUUUGACUUUUUUUUGUGCUUUAAGAUAAAACAAAGCGCCUUUUAGAGAGAUAACUAAUAAGAUUCAGCAAAAGUAGUGGUGUUGCAGCUACAGUCGUAGCUUGAAAUAAGAUUCACAGACAUGAAUCUGUAUCAAACUGUGUCAAACCAGCAGUUGUUGAUUUCAACGUUUUUUGUGCUUUGAUUUAGAUGUUUUUUUGUCCUUUAAGAUAAAACAAAGCGCCUUUUAUGGAGAUAACUAAUAAGAUUCAGCAAAAUCAAAAAGUAGUGGUGUUGCAGCUACAGUCUUAGCUUGAAAAAAGAUUCACAGACAUUUGCUUUAAGAAGAGAAACUAUCUAACUAAAUGCAUUUGCUAUUAUUUAAUAUGUUUAUUCAGAGAUGCCGAUUUCGAAAAACAGACGUGGCAACACACAUACUCACCGAAGAACUCAAGUUGAUUAGCGGGGCUCCUGUGAGUGCGUGUCACGUUUUAGUGGAAAAUUACAGCUCUUUCAACAAUUCCUCAGUCGGAAUCCCAUUUUAAAGUGGAUUUUAUCCGCAAAUCACAAUUAUUUUGUUCAUGCUCUGUUUUAAUGGGCACACCCGCUGGGCUGAAGAAGACACUUCUCUAUUCAUAAACGUAUUACUGCCGGGGAAUCAUUAACUUAUUGUUAGCAGCGCGACUGAUGGCUUAUUGACAUGACAACAUUCAACCGACACUUUUGUCUUUGAGCCAUACAUCCGUAUCCCUGAAAACAAUGUCAUCCACCCCAUUUCCACCGCCUCCCUUGUGCGUUGGAGCCUGGCGGAAGUACACAGCGAGAGAUAAGUGUAGGCUGGGUUUCUGGAAAGACGGGAAGAGGUUCUCUUUAUGAUGAGGAAUAGGAAAAACAAAAGCACCAGAUGCCGCAGUAAAUGGGACGGGGAGUGUGUGAGAUAAUGUUACACAGAAACCCCUGUUUGCUGAAAAUGACAGGCUACUGCUUUUUGUUAGAGAAUAGCGAUAAAAGGCUUUAAAAAAGUGGCAAAACGGACCCCAGACGAUAAAUUGCCACAUGUGUAUCAUCUGUGAAGUGGGAUAUUUAUGGCUGGGGAUGCAGGGGAGUGAUAGAGUCAGACAGUUUGCACAGAUGGUGGCCAUCCUUGGUCAACAUUCAAAUAAAAAAACGGAAUGAGUGUCUCCCCCUGUGUCAAGCUAUUCCUUGUGAAUGCAGACGCAGAUAAAAGGAGGGGGUGUAAAAGUGUUUAAGUAGGCAGUAGGCAGAAGUUGUAAAAGGAGAAAAAAAAGCAGAAUGUCUAUUCACCGCUUGUGCAAUCCUUUCUGCCUUGUUGAACUUUAUUAAAUUCUGUCGUUCUCUCCUUCCCGUCUAGCUCCCUUUGUCAGCGUCUUCUCAAGCGUAACACAAAUUUUCUCCUUUUAAAAAUAAAAAGGUGUUGCAGAAGGGAACGUGUCGGUGAUACGGACAAAUUCCAGUGAAACAUCUGGAAUGGGCAAUAGUUAAACACACUUUAUUUGAGAAAAUGAUUGUUUUUCUUUAUCGUGAAGUUUGACAGAGGUGGUGUUCUAACUGCAGGUCACCCUGUAUUUGUUCGUACUGAACCUGACGCCAAAAUAAAUACAAACAAUGUUAAAGAAAUGAUCAAAUAAUAACAAUGAAAACUUUAUGCCUUGGGUAUUUAUCAAAUUUGUCUUCAAUUAUAUUGCGUUUAUCAAAUGAAUUUAUGUUCAUGCAAAAUGUAAGCAAACUGCAUGCAACAUCAAACAUGAAAUAAAAACGUUCAGAUUUCAGAACACAGGCCUGCAGGCCUUUAUGGAGAGGGAUGACAGAUAGACAGAUAGAUAACAGCUAACGGGGAAACCUAUUUCUCACAGAAAUAAGUGAAUUUCUGUUGUACCCUAAACGUUAGUUUGCAUUCUUAUUUCAGGCCCAAUCGGGAUGCUUUUCUUUAACCCAGUUAAGUGGUUUUACAUUGCGAAAUGCAAUGCUGACUCAAUUUUAAAACUAUUUUUAUCAAGCCUGCAAAUAUAAAAAAAAAUGUUAAUCAAUCUUUGAUUGAAAUGUUUACCCAUAAGCAUUUACCUUUGCAGUAUGAUAUCUGUUCAUAUUCAGCAGCUAAAGUGUGAUUAGCUUUUCUUCUGCUUCGAUUCGGGCGCUGUCAAUUUAUGUGGCUGGACGCGAUCAACAUUUUCCCACAACAACUAUCUUUCAUUCACCAAAGUGCGCUUGUUGCGUCGACCACAAUUGUGGAAAUGAGGAAGCCACAAACCGACAUUGACAAAAAAUAAAAUGAUUGCAAACAUUUCGUGAGUUAAGUUUCAAAAACAGGCACAAUUCUGUAUGUAAAACGUUAGUGGAAUCGUGAAUUGUACCAGCUGCUCUAUCAUCUUUCUCUCUUUUUUCUGUUGCUCUUAAAGUAUAUCUGUAGUGUGGCCAUUCAUUGCAUCAGCUAAGACUAAUGGAUAUGAAAGACCAAUCAAUUGGGCAGGAAAGGGAGAUUAGGGAGGGAUGAGUCACCAUAUUCCUCCUUCUUGACAACCAUGUCAUGCCUCGCAGUGUCUCCAGAGACAUUGCUGAUUGAUGCCUAUCUUUCAUCAGCCCAGCUUUAAUCUGACAUUCCACGUGCUUUAUAAUCAUAUCAGAGGAAAAUCUAUAUCACAUCAGGCUUACUCGCUCCCCACCUGUGGAGCAGAAUAUACUUUUGCUUUUAUAUAAAGGGAGAAAAACAAAACUGAAGUAGAGAGAGGCACGUCUCUAUCUAUUGAUCACAUAAAAAAAAAAAAAAGAAAAGAUUUUGAUGGAGGUGGAGGGUAAAAAAAAGGCUGUUCCGUAAAACAAACAGUGAUGGUGAAGUGACAUUCUGGGAAGAAUUGGCAGGUUCUCUCCUGGUGCCGACCAUACAAACAAACAGGAGCGAGACAAAGUGCAAUCACUGACCUUUGUUCAAAGCCAUCUAAUCUGUUUCCACUUUACUUAAUUAGAAAAAGCAGAGGGUUUUUUUAAUGUGCACAGUGUUAAUGGGAAACAGCUCACAGGUGCUAAUUAAAAAGGAGAAAAAAAGAUCUCUUUGGUAACUUUGAGUCCAUUAAUUUAUAUAUUCAUCCAUCACAAACUUGGAAAACUUAUCUCUCUCAUAUGUACACUGUAUUUGAAGCCAAAUGAUGCCCAAGAUAUAUAAUGGUAUUCAUGCAGUGUCACGUUAAUCAAUUUCUAACUACUCAACAAAUAAUAAAUACAUUAUAAACACACUUUUGAACGGUCUUCAAUUAACCUGAGAGCACGGUAAUGUUCAGCUCAAAGCUCAGCUCUAUGCAGACAGCGAUUAACACUGCAUCACAGGCGAGUGUGUCCGUCAGGUGGCGAAUACAUUCACUUCCUCUUUGACUGUUUAAAAGAGGCGGCAGAGAGCCGCCAAAACGCUGUUUCAUGUCAUUUAUUCCAGUAAGCGUUUGAUUGGCGGCAGGAGCACAGACCUGUUGGAUGUUAUACUGAAAAUAUUCAUUCAAAAAACGAUUUCUAGAAAUGUAAAUUGAAAGUUUGAAAGGAUAUCUCCCACACACACGUUUCAUCAUAGUACGUCUCAGUGUAUCGAUGCACUUUUGGCAAUUUAGCAUAGAAUCUCAGUGUUGUUUUAAGGGUUGAUCUUUUAAAUAUAAUAACACAAAGAUGUUUUUAAGACGCUUCUCACAGUAAUGAUUUGUCAGGACUAUUCAAAUAUUGCAGAAACAUAUUUUCAUUUUAUAUUUCAAAUUCUUAAAGCAGGUAUUUUGCAUGUAAUCAUGCAAGAGUCUGUUUACAAUCUGCCACCUUAUAUUUAAACUUUAAAAUUGCUGUACUUUCUUAAUUUAAUAUCAUCAUUUAAUUGAAAUAGAUCUUAAAUUAUAUACUUUUUUUAAAAGCCAGCUUUUUAAGGAAAUCUAUUUACUUAAAAAGCUUUCAUAUAACGACGUUCAUUUAGCACUUGGUCUUCUUUACAUUUCCAACAAGAAGCCAGUUUGUUCCUCUGUGAGAUGGGACCCGGUAGCGGAUGAGAUCAACAACAUGCUAUGCACCCUUAACCACAUUAAAGCCCCUCUUGCAUGGGCAGUGUGUGGUCCGCCUCCCAGGGACAGCAGGGGACGCAGGAAACAAAUUAGCUUUCUUGACCUUGGCCCGAGUUUCCCUUCCAUAGUCUUCACCCCCCUCCCGCCCACCUCCUCCCCUCCUCCCCGCCCUUCAUCUGGCCACUUCAAGGGUCAGCUGGAUGACAACUGGCCUCUGUUGUGCUCCACGGUGGGGAAAUAUUCAGAUGCAGGCCUCACGUGGCAUUGUGGGAAAUGAGGUUGAGGAGUUCAGUUUAUAUAUGAGGUCGACUGGAUGUGGUGAGGAACGAUUACCGCUCGCUCAAACGUCUUGCCUGUGACGCGAGGCCAAAAGCACAGCUUUAGGUUAGAAAUGCAGGAAAAUGUGUAAAAAAAAAAAAGGAUUUUCAUCAUGCAAAAUGAAACAAACAAGGGUUCAAAUAAGCCGCUAAAUGAAGGCAGCUAAACUUCAGCAUGGUAUUAAACGGUGAAAUCACUUGAAGAAGGAACAUUUCCUGACAACACGAACCAGGCGCUCAGUCCUCGAGUCCUCUGUCUCAAGGUCACAAUCACUGACACACACACACACACACACACACAAAGCGCCCCCCCCCACACCACCAAUGAGAAGCCGAUCUUUUCAAACAUGUUAAUAAGUUUAAAGUCUAGAAAGGAAUGCAAUGUUCACAGCCCCUUGCCUAAAAUGAGGGAGCAUUAGCUAUAGGAGUGGAAAGAAUCCUUUCGGUGAUACAUAUUGGAUUGUAACACCGACAGGCAAAUCUAAUUCCCCUAGUUCACCCGAAAGCACGUCUAUGUGCAUCAGCGUUCAGCCCGAGAGCAAAAAUAACCCGCGGUGUCCGGGGGAGGGAAGUAGCAGACACUGUAUUAAUGCUCGUGCUCUUCAUUGAUCUAUGAGGACUCCUUAAUCGUGAGACCAGCUUCCUCCUACGUAUAUUUCAUAAUGCGAUACGCGGUGCAUCGAUAACUCGGGUAAGGGCCUAUGCUUUCUCAUGCUGGCUCACAGCAUUUAUUGAUCCCACAGUGAAGUAAACAUGUCUUUAACACAAGGGGCCUGUCACUCCCGCCAGAUGCAACGAAAUUGUUUCGAGCUACGUUGUUACACACUGAUGGCCCGGCAAUUAAUAGUUAACAUGACAAGAUAUCGCCUGCAAAGUUAAUAACUGUCCCGACGGAGAGUGGGGAGGUUUAACUAAUUCUGUGUAUCUAAAGGAAAGAAAACCCAUGCACGAGGAGACUCACGGGGAUUAUUUAUUUGCAGUAUGAUUCAACUGGUGUUCUGGGAGAGAUGACACACAUACAUACAGUAAAGUGACUCAGGGGCAUGGUUUUGGCAGGCAGCCAAAUUGACCAUAUCCUUAUGACUAAACGGUGGCUUAAGCCUGAGCAAUUUCCUCUGCAUUUCCUGCAGGCAGCCAUGUAAAAAUGAUUAUAAGUGUGAGCUUAGAGUACCGUUCCGGCCUUGUGGGUUAGCGACAGCCACAGCCACUGGACGCUGCUUCUUUAAGGUUCAAUUCAUGAAAUAAAGUAAGGAAUGAGACCUGGACCGGUUAUGGUUACACCUAUAUUUUGUCUUUACAGAGACUAUUCGCUCACAUGUCAAACACGAUCAUUGGUACAGCUGGAUGUGCUUUUCAAAAGGUUGUAAACUGUCUGUCUUGUAUUGAACUUGUAUGAUUGCCAUGAAAAAAUAAUUUGUUAUUGGCUAUUUUUAAUUUAGUUUUCUACACUCAUGGGCAUUCUAUGUUUUGUUUUUUAAUAAUUGUCGAUGUGUUAAUGGUCUUAAGCGUUAGAGGCUCUUGUUUUGAAUCUACUUCCUAUAAAGUUCCACACUUUGAAUUGAAUGCCCUGCAAAGGUCCAGGAAAAACAUCUAAUAAACUUACGGGUGAGCAGGAAUUUAUCAUCUAAGACAUGAAUUCAUUUUCCAAAGAAUCUGUGAAAAACAGAAAAGCAUCAACAAAAGUCACAUUUCAAUCAUCAAUAAAACUCUCAACUGAGAUCAUUAAUAAGAAAAUAAACUGUUUAAUGAAAAAAUAGAUUCAACAAAUUGAUUCAAUUUAAGGUAGGCUUGUAUUUGAAUGAAAUGCCUCUCCAAUAUCUGAUGCAGUGAUAUCAGCCCACUAUGCUUCCACACUGAAGCAUGUCAAUCAAUUCAUGUCAACUAGUUACCAGGUAAAGAAUCAGCCACCCGUUGCUGAUAACAAUGACAAGUGUGUGUGUGUGUGUGUGUGUGUGUGUGUGUGUGUGUGUGUGUGCGUGUGGAUUCCUAUUAAGUGAGAUCACAUGGUCGGCCCUCCGCGUCCAGACAGUAGGAAGUGAAAGUGCCGCUGCAGCCACAACACAGGUCAGAUCUCAAACCCUGUUUUCCGCUGCACAACGCAAUCGCUCUUCUUGUUUCACUCCCAAAGCUGCAGGAUGUGCUUGAAGACCAAGGACAGAGGAUGAGGCCCUGUUUUAAUGAUGUAACAUGACCACGAGGAAUGAGAAUACCCUGAACACGCACUUUUAGUUGAAAAUACGGCAUGUGGCACAAAGCGAGAGGAGUUUCUUAGAGUGAACCGCCAGCUACGAUGAGAAUGGAAUACAUAAAUAGUCACAAUAACAUAAAUAAUCAACAUAAAAUCCUGUUUUAAUAGAUUGGAGCGCUGCUUUGUGAUCAGUACAACAUACAGUACAGACAUUACAGUUAAAUGCAAAUGUGAAAAUAGGUUUUUCUUCGAUAAAGUAAGUCACGGAGAUUAUUUCAACUGGAAAGUCAACAUUAACAAAGAAGUUAAAGUUUGUUCUAAAUUGUUGAGCAUGUUUGUGAUAAAUAAAACGUUGAAGGCUUGACGCUGUGCUCGCUGUUGCAUUAGGAGCCCUAAGGGUUUUUUUCUGCUUUUUCUGCAGUUUAAUGAGCUGAACCGUGGAAAUGUUUUGGAAAAUAAAGGGACACACGUCGGGUAACUCAGUUUGAUUUUAUUUUGUCAUUGUGUCUGACAUCACGGGAGGGAGGGAAGAGCAAACGUGAGGUCUGACAAAGACAGUGGCAGAUGUGCAAAGGGUGAAAAAUAAAACGAAAAGGGGAUAUCUAUUUGUGUGCAAUGAAGACAGACAUAAAAAACAGCCUCGUACUGAGAUAGUUGCUCUAAAUGAAAUACCUGGAGAUUGCAUGUUGCUUUGCAUUUGCAGGGGUAUUCAAUUUUAAUUAGGGUUUUGGAGACAUCUUUUAUCAGACUGUCACUAAUCUCUCCCGGUCUCUCUCCCACCUCCUAACCCCCUUUCUCUCCAUCACACACACACACUUAUCAUCUUAUCCCCACAUUCAGAAAUGCAAAUACGCCGCCACAAGAAGGAAUAAAAAGAUUUAUAGUACAACAAUUUGUCUGAUGCACAAAUUAUCAAAAAAGCAAUGAAUAUGGGACAAAACCUUCGUCCCCUUUCAUUUUGAAGGAAAAAAAACCAUUACCUCUACUUUUUAAUUGAAUUUUCUUUGGGGCAAAGGUGGCAAUUAAUUUUGCUCAGGGAGACACAUAAACCAAUAACAAGAAUAUACAAAAACGGUAAAUAGUAUUCUUGCCUUAAGUCUUAGACUAACUAUUUAAAUUCCAACGUAGUAACUCCAUGAAAGCGUUUUGUGGGACAAGAAGAGAGCAAAUAAUACAUUACACUCGGCAGCAUUUUUCACGGAUGAAAACCUGCUGAUUUUCAUGUCGAAUGACAUUGUGAUUUAAAAUUGAGAAAAGGGAAGAAAUACCAAAGUGCUAGCGGACUGUAAAUUAAAAGUUAGUGUAUUAGAUGGACUUCUACAUCAUCAGAAGCACAAAGAUAUUUUCAAAAAAGACUCAGCGGGGUAAUUUUCUUAUAUUACUUGAUUUAGUGUGAUGAUUCAAUUUCCAUUGACUUGCAUUAACUUAAGUUUUACCAAUUUCAAAAUUCUUGUUAGUGGGCUUUAUCCUUUCAACACACUCCUUGAUAUGUUCACACACAUUUAGAUAUUUUAUAUCUCCUGAAUACAAUGAAGUAAAAAUGCCUCUUUACCCAAACUAAAGCACCUACUUUUAAAAAAAAGUGUCACCUUGACCAAAAAGAAAAGGCAACUUCUAGUAAUAAAACGUGCUUUCUUCCCCCCACUUGUUUCUGUGUGUGUGUGUGUGUGUGUGUGUGUGUGUGGUGCAGUGGUUAGCCUGUCUCCCUUCUCUUCAUUCCUGGCCCUCUUCCAUUGUUAGUCACCUUGUUUAUUGGCUGGAGCAGCCGUGGUCUACUGGACAUCAUCUGAAACUACAAACGACAGGAUGCAAUAAGCUGGAGAAUAGCAGCAAUCUGAGGAAAGUUCUCCAUUCACCAGAGCUCCCUAACUCUCUGUCUUCUUAUCCUGGGCAGAAAAUAAAAAAAUCAAUACCGGCUCACAGGGCUUGAUAAAAGUGCUGGACAGGGAGAGAAGCAACCCUGGAUAUAGUAAAUUAAAGUGAUCAAAAUUUUCCAGUCGCCUCAGCCCACAGCCUACAUAAACUAACAACCCCGUCUCCACAACUGUCCAUCAUCCUCCUCCCCCCACCAUCUGCAUCCACUGCUUUAACUUGAUUUUAGUCAUUCGGAUUCGGGUGUUUUUCCACCCACUGCUUGUUUUUUCAUGUGUUCUAUUUUUUUAUUUGUACAAUGUAAAAAAUGUUAUUAUUAAAACAAAGUCAUGGUUUCGUUUUUUUAUUUAGGUGGGAAAAUUCCCGAGUUUAACAACAAUUUUCUCCUUUCAGCCCUGAACUUGUUAACUGCAUGUGAGCAAGAAACAAAAACAAAAUAAAUGUCCCCCUCGUGGAAGAGUAUUUGGUCGCAAGGCAAGAAUGUAGCUGCAGUAUUUGUUGUUCAUGCAACUAACGAUAACAAGGGUUUUGUACUUUGCACACUGACCUGGACAGAAGUUAAUAUGAUGGCGUAUCAGGACCAUUCUUGGUAAAAUAAAAAAUAAACAAUAUGCAGCAAGGGGAGGAGGUAUUUUAUAUCAUUAUACAAGAUACAAGAGAUAAAUCACAAAUUGACCGAAGCAUGAAAAUAUGAAAUAUGAAUGAAUCAUCAGUCAUGAAUAAAUACAUCGUAUGUAGGCGCUACAGAAUUUGGGCGCCGGCUGGCCUUACCAUUGUUUUUUUGCGCUUGGUUUGUCAAGAGACACCUUUUACAUCAAAGGCUGCUGUUUUUACACAACGUUAGUUGAUAUUAGAAUAUGCUUCAGGCAUAUUACACCCUGCAAGCUCCCCUUCCACCCCAGAGGUAUUGGUCAUGCUAAUGCUGCUCAAGAUUAAGACCAUGCAUCCUGCUGCUUUCCAUCCUCCUAAUUUCUGCAUUGAGUAAAAUAUUGAAUUCCUUUUGCCUUCUACCAUUUGCUCCUUUUACCAUCCGACUUUUGUAUUUUUAUUUGAUGCCAUAAAGCAACAAUGAACAUUUCCCAUCAAAACCAGACCCUGACUCUUUGAUCCGACAUCUGUUGAUGUAACCCAUGCUGUGAUUGUCCAGAAGAAGAAUGUAAUGGUAUACAGGCUGAAUGUUUCAAUGCGUUUCCAUGCUACGCAGAAGACAGGUUGAAAGACAAUCAGAGGUAAUUCACUGCAAUACGUGCCCUUUCCUGGACUGUUAGAAGUGCGCCCAACCACACAGACACUAAUUGAAUUACUGUAAUGCCGGCAGCAGCUGACUCGCUCUGCUCACACACACACACACACACACACACGCCCCCAUGCCAGCCCUGCACCGGGCCCCCCUUGGCAUCUUGUGCACCUAACAGUAAGAAGGGAUUAAUAGGGAUUGGCCAAUCCAGUCCAGUCUCAUGCAAGUGUGUGAGGUUUACCACACAGCUAAGCUGAUGUGCCUGCGUCACUAAUAACUGCAGUUUGAUGGCGGCGUGCUGUAAUUCCUUGUCUUUUCAUAUCAAGACUUGGGGACUCACACUUAUUUUUACUGACAUCUUUAAGAUAGUCUCAUCUUCAUUGUAUUGUUGUUUGCUGGAGCAUCAACUAAAUGUGUGUGUUUUUGCUGAUACCGUGAUCAUUUUUUCAACUGACCUCCUCGCCAUGUUUAUGUGCGUGUGACUUCCUUAUUUGUGCCAAUGCGGCGGCUGCGGCGGCUGUGGCCUUAUCUCCGGUUGACCCCGCGGGUUUGAGAGCCUUGGAACAAUGAGCAACACGCAUGUGUCCUGUUAGUUUGCAUCACAGCUUGACCCACCGAGGCCUCCAGCUAAAAGCCUGCACAUUAUCCUCUUCAAAUUGUUUCUAAAACUAAGGGAAUAAAUCAUCAACUUCUCCAGGCGCUCCACAAUAUGAUGGUCAAAUGUUUGACUGGAACCU
ensembl:lncRNA